GGACCCGCACAAGCGGUGGAGCAUGUGGUUUAAUUCGACGCAACGCGAAGAACCUUACCAGGGCUUGACAUCUUCCGCUAUCCUAGGAAACUAGGAGUUCCGACCUUCGGGUUGGACGGAAAGACAGGUGGUGCAUGGUUGUCGUCAGCUCGUGUCGUGAGAUGUUGGGUUAAGUCCCGCAACGAGCGCAACCCCUACUUUUAGUUGCCAGCAAGUCAAGUUGGGCACUCUAAAGGAACUGCCGAUGACAAAUCGGAGGAAGGUGGGGAUGACGUCAAAUCAUCAUGCCCUUUAUGUCCUGGGCUACACACGUGCUACAAUGGCCGGUACAGAGGGAAGCCAAGGAGCGAUCCGGAGCGAAUCCCAAAAAGCCGGUCUCAGUUCGGAUUGCAGGCUGCAACUCGCCUGCAUGAAGUCGGAAUCGCUAGUAAUCGCGAGUCAGCAUAUCGCGGUGAAUACGUUCCCGGGUCUU
rnacentral:rRNA from 1 species